rnacentral:ncRNA from 1 species
ACUGAAUAUUCGCCCACAGGUAUUCUGCCCCGCGCGGGGCAGAUGGAUGGCGAAACCGGUGUGAAUCCGGUGCUGUUGCGCAACUGUGAUCCAGCCUUGGGGCUGGUCAGCCAGGUCGACCGCUUGUGGCGCGUUCUUCAC